rnacentral:lncRNA from 1 species
GAGUGAUCAAUUAUGGAGCUGUCCGAGUGGUCGUUCCAGGCAAUUUCCCAAUAGGUUGUAUGCCAAUCUAUCUCACAGCAUUCCAAACAAACAACUCGGCUGCUUACGAUGAGUAUCACUGCUUGAAACACCUAAACAACUUCUCAAUCUAUCACAACGAUCAGUUAAAGCAGGCCAUUGAAGAGUUGAAGAGAGAGUACCCUAAUGCAGUUAUUGUCUAUGGCGAUUACUACAAUGCCUUCGAGUGGCUUUUCCGCAGAGCUUCACAUCUAGGUGAGUCCAUUUAAAAAAUGCUUUAGAACUCGAGAUUGAUUCAUUAAUAAUGAUAAACGAUGCAUCAUUUGGAUGAAAGGAUUGAAACAAAAUGGGUUCAGGGUUGAACUUUAUGAAAAUAUCUGAAGGUCAGUUAUUAGCGUAGGUGGAGGAUUGAAGAUGUAUUUUAUUAAGAUUAAUGAACAUAAGAUGAUUAAUGGAGGAAUUUCAAGAGAACUGAGUCACAAAAUCAUUUCAAAUCUGUCAAUCCAAAGCUAUUAAAUCCGCUCUUGAAAUGUAGACCGACCCCCUGGAACACGAAUCUGAAAUAUGGUUGAAAUUCUUAAAUAAGUGAUACCAAAUUCAUUAAUUUUAAAUUCAAAAUCCAAAAGCAACCUAAAAGUCUCACUUUGUUACCUGCAGGAUUUGACGGUGAAUCUGCUCAGAAAGCUUGCUGUGGGACAGGAGGUGACUACACUUUCAGCCUUGCAAGAUGUGUGGGCACCGGAGUCUCCAGUGUGCCGAACCUAAUCAAGUCAUCAGAUGGAUGGAGUCAUCUGACAGAAGCAGGUAUAAGAUCAGGCGGAUGGCUCAUCCAGACAUCUGCCCAAAACUUCAGUGCUCUGUUUAACUUAAUUUUGAAGUAUUAGUUUUACCAUAGAGAUAGCAAUUAGAAAAUACUUAUUCCUUAAGCAAGUCCAAUUGUGUUUUUAAGUCUUUCGUAGGUUUGUUAAAGAGUUGCUACUGAAAUUUUUAUAGAUGGAUUUUGUUUUGAAUAUAUUUAGAUUGCAGUGUUACAUAGAUGAAUACACAAAUUAGGGUUGCAGAUUCUCAUUUGAAUAGGACUACAAAUAUUUUUAUAACUGAAAGUUGUACCCUCCAAUGUGAAGAUUCCUCACAAGUACAUAGAAAAACCCCAUUUCCUUUUGUUCUUCAAAGUCAUAGAUAGCACUUGUGUCUGGUCUUUUCGGAUUUCUUAAGCUUGCUAAUUAAAUGUGUAAGAUGCUUGGACUUUGGCACUAGAUGAAUGUCAUAUGUCAUCAAAUAUUUCCUAAUGUUUCUUUGAUGCAUACAUAACAAGAUAAUACCCUCGAACUUUCCUAAUGUAAUUUCACCAUUAUAAUCAAACACAAACAGUACAUCUAGCUAGCUAGCUAGUAAAUUAUUUUGUCUUUCCGGAAACCUUUCUAUGUCAAUUUCAUCAAGCUAUUGAUUCAAUGAUCAAGUCGCCAUCUUCAUUCUUCAAAACAGAACUAGCUCAUGGACUCAAACAUUUUACAAAGAAAUUGAGUCUGUUAGGACUGAAUGAUUUUUCUAAACAAGCUUACCAAUUAUAGAACUAGGCCCGUUGGUAUGUGAAUCGAAACAAGGAGUGUGUUAACUUUGAUGCAUGGAAAAACAUUUGUAAAGAUAUGUGUAUAUAGUUUUAAAGAUUAAAUUGAGCUUAGAUACCAACAGGGGUUGGUGCAGCGGUAGAAACUCAGACUUGGUGGGACAAGGCAUGGGUUCGAGUCACCGCAGCUUCCUGUUGGGACUAAACCUACUCCUAUCACCAUCCGUGAUCAGUGGGCAAUGCUCCCUAACGGAGGUGACUGGGUACCAUACCAGUGCUGUUCUCUCCUGAGGUUUGUAUUUAAUUCAUAUUCUCUCCUCAUCUUCUAAAAAUUACAUUAACCUCUCCUGUUAGUAUGCGUCCCUCAACCAAAGUAACGAAGAAAAUAAAUUUCCAUUAUUACCCCUGCAUAAUCUAAUAAGUAGCCUUCUUUCUUUUUUCUAACCCUAUAAUCUCUCUCUCUACCAUAGAACUACUCCUAACUGACUAACUCAAAACCCUCCUCCAUCUCUCUCUCUUAUAGAACUCAAUAUAAAUGCACUUUGGGUGAUUGGGACUCCAGUGAGUGGUUGGAAAGCCUUGGCAUGGCUAUUGGAAGAAAUGAGCUGUGAGAGAAGUGUUAGGAGUAGAUUAAACGAAACCAUGGUUAUGGGACUCGUUGCGCGGCGGAUCAUGAUUCCGCUUUGGGGGAGCGUGGUGGUGUAUGGUGGUCGACCUACAUCUAUAACCUUAGCGCCCAACCACCACUACCCAAUACCCUUACGCAGCCCGUCGUCCCUCUCGCCACAACAAGCCAAAUUCGAACUCCAUGUUGGAAAAUAUAUGGGUUUGGGUCAACUUUAGAGUUUAGAGCAAUAAAAAAAAGUGGGUCUCAUAAUUAUUUUGGGUAAACUCAAUUUGAUAUAUAUUCUAUUA